rnacentral:rRNA from 1 species
UACGAAGGGGGCUAGCGUUGCUCGGAAUCACUGGGCGUAAAGCGCACGUAGGCGGGUCUUUAAGUCAGGGGGGAAAUCCCGGAGCUCAACUCCGGAACUGCCUUUGAUACUGGAGAUCUUGAGUCCGGGAGAGGUGAGUGGAACUCCGAGUGUAGAGGUGAAAUUCGUAGAUAUUCGGAAGAACACCAGUGGCGAAGGCGGCUCACUGGCCCGGUACUGACGCUGAGGUGCGAAAGCGUGGGGAGCAAACAGG